rnacentral:rRNA from 1 species
UGAGUAACACGUAUCCAACCUGCCGUCUACUCUUGGACAGCCUUCUGAAAGGAAGAUUAAUACAAGAUGGCAUCAUGAGUCCGCAUGUUCACAUGAUUAAAGGUAUUCCGGUAGACGCUGGGGAUGCGUUCCAUUAGAUAGUAGGCGGGGUAACGGCCCACCUAGUCUUCGAUGGAUAGGGGUUCUGAGAGGAAGGUCCCCCACAUUGGAACUGAGACACGGUCCAA